GGUUUGGGAGGGGUUUACGAACUCCGCAUGGUGAAGGAAAGUGCCAAGAAAAGCUGGUAAUGUGAUGAAAGCAUCAUACCCGUACCCGAAACCGACACAGGUAGGGAGGUUGAGAAUACCAAGGGGCGUGAGAUAACUCUCUCUAAGGAACUCGGCAAAAUGGCCCCGUAACUUCGGAAGAAGGGGUGCCCACGAGAGUGGGUCGCAGUGAAGAGAUCCAGGCGACUGUUUACCAAAAACACAGGUCUCCGCUAACUCGAAAGAGGACGUAUGGGGGCUGACGCCUGCCCAGUGCCGGAAGGUUAAGGAAGUUGGUCAGGGGUUCGCCCUGAAGCUGACGACCGAAGCCCCGGUGAACGGCGGCCGUAACUAUAACGGUCCUAAGGUAGCGAAAUUCCUUGUCGGGUAAGUUCCGACCCGCACGAAAGGCGUAACGAUCUGGAUGGUGUCUCAGAGAGAGACUCGGCGAAAUAGGAAUGUCUGUGAAGAUACGGACUGCCUGCACCUGGACAGAAAGACCCUAUGAAGCUUUACUGUAGCCUGGAAUUGUGUUCGGGCUUGGCUUGCGCAGGAUAGGUGGGAAGCACAGAAGUACCCCUUGUGGGGGGUAUGGAGCUAACGGUGAGAUACCACUCUGGCGAAGCUAGAAUUCUAACCUAGCACCCUCAGCGGGUGUAGGAACAGUUUCAGGUGGGCAGUUUGACUGGGGCGGUCGCCUCCUAAAAGGUAACGGAGGCGCGCAAAGGUUCUCUCAGCACGCUUGGAAACCGUGCGGCGAGUGUAAAGGCAUAAAGAGAGCUUGACUGCAAGAGUGACAACUCAAGCAGGGACGAAAGUCGGCCUUAGUGAUCCGACGGCACAGAAUGGAAUGGCCGUCGCUCAACGGAUAAAAGUUACUCUAGGGAUAACAGGCUGAUCUCCCCCAAGAGUCCACAUCGACGGGGAGGUUUGGCACCUCGAUGUCGGCUCAUCGCAACCUGGGGCGGAAGUACGUCCCAAGGGUUGGGCUGUUCGCCCAUUAAAGCGGUACGUGAGCCGGGUUCAGAACGUCGUGAGACAGUUCGGUCCAUAUCCGGUGCAGGCGUAAGAGCAUUGAGAGGAGCCUUCCUUAGUACGAGAGGACCGGGAAGGACGCACCGCUGGUGUACCAGUUAUUCCACCAGGAGUAGACGCUGGGUAGCUAAGUGCGGAGCGGAUAACCGCUGAAAGUAUCUAAGUGGGAAGCCCACCUCAAGAUGAGUGCUCUCACUAC
rnacentral:rRNA from 1 species